rnacentral:misc_RNA from 1 species
GAAAUGCGAUAAGUAAUGUGAAUUGCAGAAUUCAGUGAAUCAUCGAAUCUUUGAACGCACCUUGCGCUCUCUGGUAUUCCGGGGAGCAUGCCUGUUUGAGAAUCGCAAAGCAACACAAAUCACAUUCAUUUUUUUUUUUUUGAAGGGAGAGGAUGGCUUGAAAUCUAGAAGGCCGGCUUGGGUAAAACCAAGCGGAUCAGGACCGAAUUUUUACUCCCAGAGCAAUAAUAGUUAAUGCGUUUUUGCGCGUUAUCCCUUUUUGCCCCGGGGUUGGCCCUGAACUUUUUAGGCCUCACACUUUUUUCUCUCGGCCUAGGUUGAGAGAGAGGAGGAACUAGAGUAUUUUGACGAGGCCUUCCUUCACCGGAACCUCUGACCUCUUAGAUCUCAAAUCAGGCAA